rnacentral:rRNA from 1 species
ACGCACGCUGGCGGCGUGCUUAACCCCUGCCAGUCGAACGGAAAGGCCCUGCUUUUGUGGGGUGCUCGAGUGGCGAACGGGUGAGUAGCACGUGAGUAACCUGCCCUUGACUUUGGGAUAACUUCAGGAAACUGGGGCUAAUACCGGAUAGGAGCUCCUGCUGCAUGGUGGGGGUUGGAAAGUUUCGGCGGUUGGGGAUGGACUCGCGGCUUAUCAGCUUGUUGGUGGGGUAGUGGCUUACCAAGGCUUUGACGGGUAGCCGGCCUGAGAGGGUGACCGGCCACAUUGGGACUGAGAUACGGCCCAGACUCCUACGGGAGGCAGCAGUGGGGAAUAUUGCACAAUGGGCGGAAGCCUGAUGCAGCAACGCCGCGUGCGGGAUGACGGCCUUCGGGUUGUAAACCGCUUUCGCCUGUGACGAAGCGUGAGUGACGGUAAUGGGUAAAGAAGCACCGGCUAACUACGUG